rnacentral:rRNA from 1 species
GAUGAACGCUGGCGGCGUGCCUAAUACAUGCAAGUCGAGCGAACGGACGAGAAGCUUGCUUCUCUGAUGUUAGCGGCGGACGGGUGAGUAACACGUGGAUAACCUACCUAUAAGACUGGGAUAACUUCGGGAAACCGGAGCUAAUACCGGAUAAUAUUUUGAACCGCAUGGUUCAAAAGUGAAAGACGGUCUUGCUGUCACUUAUAGAUGGAUCCGCGCUGCAUUAGCUAGUUGGUAAGGUAACGGCUUACCAAGGCAACGAUGCAUAGCCGACCUGAGAGGGUGAUUGGCCACACUGGAACUGAGACACGGCCCAGACUCCUACGGGAGGCAGCAGUAGGGAAUCUUCCGCAAUGGGCGAAAGCCUGACGGAGCAACGCCGCGUGAGUGAUGAAGGUCUUCGGAUCGUAAAACUCUGUUAUUAGGGAAGAACAUAUGUGUAAGUAACUGUGCACAUCUUGACGGUACCUAAUCAGAAAGCCACGGCUAACUACGUG